rnacentral:rRNA from 1 species
GACGAACGCUGGCGGCGUGCCUAACACAUGCAAGUCAACUUGACUGAAGGAGCAAUCUGACAGUAGAGUGGCGCAAGGGUGCGUAACGCGUAAGUAACUUGCCCCAAGGUAAGGAAUAACGUCGAGAAAUCGGCGCUAAUACCUCAUAAUGCAGCGGAUCCGCAUGGAUAUGUUGUUAAAGGUUUACCGCCUUGGGAUAGGCUUGCGUCUGAUUAGUUAGUUGGUGUGGUAACGGCACACCAAGGCUACGAUCAGUAACUGGUCUGAGAGGAUGAUCAGUCACACUGGAACUGAGACACGGUCCAGACUCCUACGGGAGGCAGCAGUGAGGAAUAUUGGGCAAUGCUCGAAAGAGUGACCCAGCAACGCCGCGUGGAGGAUGAAGGUAUUCUAUAUCGUAAACUCCUGUGAGAGCAGACGAAAGACAGAAUUAUUAAUCUGGAUGACUGUAUGCUCAGAGGAAG